rnacentral:rRNA from 1 species
AGGGAAUCUUCGGCAAUGGACGAAAGUCUGACCGAGCAACGCCGCGUGUCUGAAGAAGGCCUUCGGGUUGUAAGGGACUUUUGUUAGGGAAGAAAAGCUCACUAAUAACACUAGUGAGUGCUGACGGUACCUAAAGAAUAAGCACCGGCUAACUACGUGCCAGCAGCCGCGGUAAUACGUAGGGUGCAAGCGUUAAUCGGAAUUACUGGGCGUAAAGCGAGCGCAGACGGUUAUUUAAGUCGGAUGUGAAAUCCCCGAGCUCAACUUGGGACGUGCAUUUGAAACUGGGUAACUAGAGUGUGUCAGAGGGAGGUAGAAUUCCACGUGUAGCAGUGAAAUGCGUAGAGAUGUGGAGGAAUACCGAUGGCGAAGGCAGCCUCCUGGGAUAACACUGACGUUCAUGCUCGAAAGCGUGGGUAGCAAAC